rnacentral:misc_RNA from 1 species
UUUAUUUAUUUAUUUAUUUUUUCACAAAUCACCAGUAAACUAAUUUAGUUUUUAUGGAAGUUGAUCUGUGGAAUUUGAAGAAUUCAGUGCAUCAGACGAAACUGUUAUCUGUAAAAGUAUAUGCCUUUGUUGCCGGUAAUGUUCAUAAAUUUCUUCCAUCUAGUUAAGUCGUGUUUGGGACAGUGGGUGGUCUGCUUUUGGCACCUGCAAUUUUCUGCCCCAUGGUUCCUCCCAACCAUGUUCUUGGGAAAGCUUCAUUUUGAAGCUUUCUCAAAGCCAUGGUCCAGCAGCAGAAGGUUAAAAAGAAAUGAAAAAUAACAAAAAUAAGGCAAAAGCAUUUUGGGAGAAUCUAAUCAAACUGGUCCACCCUACAAAUGAGCCUUUAGUUUAGAAUAAGGUAGCACUUGCUUGCUUCUGAAUGGCCCUUAUUAGCUGUCAUUCCUCUGGUAUAUAUGUACAAUCAAUUUAUAUUUUGGUUGCCAUGCAGCGCUAACAAUUCUGUCCUUGGGGAAGAUUCUCAUAAUAAAGAGGAUACCAUUACGUCAGAGCAAGAUGGAGGCUGUGCCGAAAAUCAAUCAAAUUCCUUAUUUAAUUACCAUUCUUUCAUGGAUAAAACACCAACUGCUAGAUGGUCAAAACCAGAGACAGAGUUGUUUUAUGAGGUAUCUGUGGCUCUAAUUCUGCAUUUCAUUUAUUAUAUUUAUAUACUAUAGGCAAGUUAUAUUUUGUGCUAUGAUAUAUAAUAGCAAAACAAGUGGUGGGGGCUGUCCAUCCAUAGAUGCAUAUACAAGUACAGGUGUGGUGCAAGGGAGAUGUUGGUGGGCUCCUACAUUGGUCAAGUGACUGGGUUCAUUUGUGUCUAUACCUUUUUUCUUUCUCCAGUUAAAUGGAAAAUUUUCACAACUUGCGGUUCUAAUUAUUUUGGGGAUUUUAGAUAAUUUUCUAAUUCUCCAUAUUGAUAAUGUCUCAAUUAAAACAAGGUACUGUGUGGUAGGAGAAAGGAAAAGGAUAUGUACCCGUUUCUAGAGUCGGAUACAUGUUAUUGAUUGUUAAUAACUGCAGCUCUGAAGAGACACAGUACAUGACUAUGGAUAGAUGUGACCAGUUUGGUAAAGGCUUUGUUUUGUUCCGGAUAUUGAAAGACUAUCUCAGUAAUUUUCUGUCCUUUUGUUAUUCUGAAGAUAUAUGAUAAUCAAAUUGCUUCUAAUAAUUUUGUUUAUUUAACACCAUUCUAUUUAGUAGCUGUCACCUUCAAACAUUUAGAUCUAACUGAUGCAGGACAGCCUGCAGGUCUUAGAAUUAGUGUUGAAAUUUGAGGAUUUGUGAAGGCUAAAGAGAGCAGGAAUUUUGGAGAAUUAAGGUUUGUGAAAGGAUUGAAUUGAAAAGCAAAUUUAAACAAGAAGAGAAGACGCGUGGGCUAUGAACAGUAAAAUAAAAUUUUUAGGCUUAAUAAACUUACUUAAGCAUCACACCCAUGGUUCCUUAUGCAUCACGCCUAUGGUUGAAUUGCAUCACACUGCUCGAAGCGUAAUUGCAAGAAUUUGUAUCAAUCAAAACUUUGAAACAACAUUACAAGCAUAGGUAUUUAUGAACUUGGAAAAGAAUCAUUAAUCCUGAAGGUUUUGGACCCUAAAAGUAAACCUCGACUUUUAAGUAAUUUCAAAAAUUAAUCCUUAACCAACAAGGACUCU